rnacentral:lncRNA from 1 species
CUUGUGUCGAUGAACCACGACACACAGUCUUGCAUGGACCCUAACGUCAUGGAGGCCAAGAUUGUCGUGAGCUCGUGCGGUCACGACGGUCCCUUUGGAGCCACCGGUGUGAAGAGGUUGAAGAGCAUUGGGUUGAUCGACCAUGUUCCUGGGAUGAAAGCUCUUGACAUGAACACAGCUGAGGAUGCGAUUGUGAGGUUGACUAGGGAGGUUGUACCCGGUAUGAUCGUGACCGGUAUGGAAGUUGCUGAGAUCGAUGGUGCACCAAGAAUGGUGAGUUUGUUUCCCUUUCCUUGAAUCAAUCAUUUAUAGUAGGAUGAUAUACUGAGUGAAUGAAUAUGUGAUGCAGGGACCAACGUUCGGAGC